ACAAACUUAAGAGACCUGGUGAAAUCCUAUAAAAAGCAAACCCACCACACUGCUAUUCAGAAUCACUACAGUCCUGGCUCUUAAUAUUAAUAUAGUUCAUAACCCCAUUUGAGCUUUGACAUGGCUUCAGAAAACUUUUCUUAUUAUAAACAGAAACAAGAAAGUUGGUUGACUGAUGACGAAUCAAAAGAAGAGGGAUCACUCGGAAAGAUAAGGAGAUGGUCCAUGAUUACAAGGUCACUAGGCAGGAGAAGCCCAAAGGUUCGAAUUCCAGGCUUGAGGAAAAAGAAGAGGUUUUUCAAUAGAGUUAAAGUUUCAUGGAGAAAGGCUUUGAAGAGGUUGAAGAAUGGACAGGUUCACAUGAAUGAUCUAUUUGGUGGAAGUUAUCUGGUUGUGCAGUUUAAUUAUGGGACUCCUUUUAGAUGUGGUGAGAGACCUUAUAUGGGUUAUGGCCUUCAUGGCAUGCCCUCUAGGCAAGGAAGAAUUGCCUGAAUAUAUCUAUCCAUUAAAUUUGGUAAUGUAUAUUGUAAUUCCUCGUAUAGCAUUGUAUGAUGCUUUUAUUACUUUUGUGUUAAGUAAGUACUAUGGCUCUCUUGUCUUUGAAUUUA